UGGAAUGAAACUUAACGGGAAAAAUAAAGGAAAACCAUUUUAGACUGUAUACGUAAUAGUUGUUAGAGUGGAUGCAGCCCUUCAUCACUGUGAGCUGAACAAAUUGAUGAUAAUGGACAUUUUGACAGCUGCUGUCACAACUCAACGAACAAGUUGCAGCUUUGAAGGAAAAUUUUUGUUUGGAUACAGAAAAAUGUCGUUUCAGGAUGUAAAGUUAAUUGGACCAAGAUUGUGCUUGACAUCUGUUGCCUUUUAAUAAUGGUAUACGAAAGGACAAUUGCUAUUAGAAACAAAUAAGUCGUACUAGCUGCAAGUAAUAUUUAUGGCGGACAUCAAAAAGCUUUAAAUGGAAUGAAACUUGUGCAGAAGAAAUCGAGGAAAACCAUUUUGUUAGAGCGUAUCCAGUUCUUUAUCAAUGGUAUAUGCUGGGACAAUUGCUGUUAAAAAUCCACAAGCACUACUAUCUGCAAAUAUUAUGGUUGACGUCAAAAAGCUUUAAAUGGAAUGAAACUUGUGCAGAAGAAAUCAAGGAAACCCAUUUUGAACUGCUGUUACUUAAUAGCUGUUAGAGCGGAUCCAGUUCUUUAUCAAUGGUAUAUGCUGGAGCAAUUGCUGUUAAAAAUCCACAAGCCGUACUAUCUGCAAAUAUUAUUGUGGUGAUCAAAAAGCUUGAAAUGGAAUGAAAUUUGCAGGAAAAGACUCAGAAAGACCAUUUAGGACUGUACUUAACAGCUGUUGAAGAGUGGUCGCAGUCCUUUAUCAAUGAUAUUUCUGCAUUUUCUUAACAAUGGAUAUCUACAGUUGCUCCUACUCCUCACUUUCCUCUUUCACUCGACAUGAAGCAGACUCAAUAUUCCUCAAUGCCUCACCAAGGUUCGUUAGCUUCAUUAAUAUUGUUAUUGUUUCAAUAAAUUUGUUUAUUGGUUUUUAUCCUCUUACUAUAUAAUUACAUCAGGCGUCAUUUUAAUGUUAAUUUUUUGUAAAAUUUUGAUAAUCUGGAUAGAAACCUUUAUUUUUUCUUAAGCUUUUGCAAUAUAAAACACUAGUUAAGAGCAAUACACUUUAUUUUAUGAAUAGGACCAUUA